GCCUUGGUAGCUCAGCGGUAGAGCUCCUGACUAGAGUUGCAGGGGACCCUGGUUUGAUUCCCGGUCCAGCCA
rfam:Crassostrea gigas strain 05x7-T-G4-1.051#20 contig4208, whole genome shotgun sequence.